GGCGAACGCUGGCGGCGUGCCUAAUACAUGCCAGUAGAACGCACAGUUUAUACCGUAGCUUGCUACACCAUAGACUGUGAGUUGCGAACGGGUGAGUAACGCGUAGGUAACCUGCCUGGUAGCGGGGGAUAACUAUUGGAAACGAUAGCUAAUACCGCAUAAUAUUGAUUAUUGCAUGAUAAUUAAUUGAAAGGUGUAAUUGCACCACUACCAGAUGGACCUGCGUUGUAUUAGCUAGUAGGUGAGGUAACGGCUCACCUAGGCGACGAUACAUAGCCGACCUGAGAGGGUGAUCGGCCACACUGGGACUGAGACACGGCCCAGACUCCUACGGGAGGCAGCAGUAGGGAAUCUUCGGCAAUGGACGAAAGUCUGACCGAGCAACGCCGCGUGAGUGAAGAAGGGUUUCGGAUCGUAAAGCUCUGUUGUAAGAGAAGAACGGGUGUGAGAGUGGAAAGUUCACACUGUGACGGUAUCUUACCAGAAAGGGACGGCUAACUACGUG
rnacentral:rRNA from 1 species